rnacentral:rRNA from 1 species
AACGAACGCUGGCGGCAGGCUUAACACAUGCAAGUCGAGCGCCCCGCAAGGGGAGCGGCAGACGGGUGAGUAACGCGUGGGAAUCUACCCAUCUCUACGGAAUAACGCAUGGAAACGUGUGCUAAUACCGUAUACGUCCUUCGGGAGAAAGAUUUAUCGGAGAUGGAUGAGACCGCGUUGGAUUAGCUAGUUGGUGGGGUAAAGGCCUACCAAGGCGACGAUCCAUAGCUGGUCGGAGAGGAUGAUCAGCCACACUGGGACGGAGACACGGCCCAGACUGCUACGGGAGGCAGCAGUGGGGAAUAUUGGACAAUGGGCGCAAGCCUGAUCCAGCCAGGCCGCGUGAGUGAUGAAGGCCGUAGGGUUGUAAAGCUCUUUCACCGGUGAGGAUAAUGACGGUAACCGGAGAAGAAGCCCCGGCUAACUUCGUGCCAGCCGCCGCGGUAACAC